AUUGAACGCUGGCGGCAGGCCUAACACAUGCAAGUCGAGCGGAUGAAGGGAGCUUGCUCCUGGAUUCAGCGGCGGACGGGUGAGUAAUGCCUAGGAAUCUGCCUGGUAGUGGGGGAUAACGUCCGGAAACGGGCGCUAAUACCGCAUACGUCCUGAGGGAGAAAGUGGGGGAUCUUCGGACCUCACGCUAUCAGAUGAGCCUAGGUCGGAUUAGCUAGUUGGUGGGGUAAAGGCCUACCAAGGCGACGAUCCGUAACUGGUCUGAGAGGAUGAUCAGUCACACUGGAACUGAGACACGGUCCAGACUCCUACGGGAGGCAGCAGUGGGGAAUAUUGGACAAUGGGCGAAGGCCUGAUCCAGCCAUGCCGCGUGUGUGAAGAGGUCUUCGGAUUGUAAAGCACUUUAAGUUGGGAGGAAGGGCAGUAAGUUAAUACCUUGCUGUUUUGACGUUACCAACAGAAUAAGCACCGGCUAACUUCGUG
rnacentral:rRNA from 1 species